rnacentral:misc_RNA from 1 species
UUUCCGUAGGUGAACCUGCCGAAGGAUCAUUAAUGUGUUUGGGCCUCACGGCUCUUCAUUCCGACGCUGUGCGCCUUCGGGCUGCACGCUGAGGGAGCAUAUAUCCACCCCUGUGCACACACACGGUGGCGAGCUGGGUAACGGCUCGCCGCUGAUCUUUACACACGUCUAAAAGUCAUUGUAUGUUUAUUUGAGAUAAAAACACAACUUUCAGCAACGGAUCUCUUGGCUCUC